rnacentral:pre_miRNA from 10 species
UCCUGGUUCCCCCUCUCUAAUCCUUGCUACCUGGGUGAGAGUGCUUUCUGAAUGCAGUGCACCCAGGCAAGGAUUCUGCAAGGGGGAGUG